rnacentral:tRNA from 1 species
GGGUCCUUAGCUCAGUUGGUAGAGCAUGCGUCUCCAAAACGCAGGGUCGUAGGUUCGAGUCCUUCAGGGCCCGCCA